UCUUUGCAUAUUUUAUAUGCAAGUUGUAAGUAUGCAUAGAAAAGUGGGUGACGUAAGGUAACCCGUUAAGCAGACCGCCUGGGGAGUACGACCGCAAGGUUAAAACUCAAAGGAAUUGACGGGGGAGCGCACAACCGGUGGAGCAUGUGGUUUAAUUCGAUACAAAGCGAAAAACCUUACCUGGGUUUGACAUGUACCUGCACGUUCUGGGAAACCAGAAUUUCUUCGAGAGUGGUACACAGGUGAUGCAUGGCUGUCGUCAGCUCGUGUCGUGAGACGUCCACUUAAGUGUGGUAACGAGCGCAACCCUUGCUAUCAGUUACAAGUGUCUGAUAGGACUGCCCCGCCUCUGGCGGGGAGGAAGGAGAGGACGACGUCAAGUCAGCAUGUCCCUUACACCCAGGGCUACACACAUCCUACAAUGGAGCCGACAACGGGUCGCAAUGGGGUAACCCAGAGCCAAUCCUUAUAAACGGCUCCUCAGUUCAGAUUGAGGGCUGCAAUUCGCCCUCAUGAAGUCGGAAUCGGUAGUAAUCGCAAAUCAGCAGGUUGCGGUGAAUACGUUCUCGCUCCUUGUACACACUGCCCGUCAAGCCAGCAAAGUCAGUAACGCCCGAAGCGGGUGACCGUAACUCUCACGAGAGCGGCCCUUCUACGGCGAGAUUGGCGAUGAGGACUAAGUCGUAACAAGGUAGCCGUA
rnacentral:rRNA from 1 species